CGGCAAAGGAUUUGAACAAGGGUAUGUGAUGGACUGAGCGAGUUAUCCAUCGUCACCGAAGGAGAGUUAGUGGCGGGACUGGAUCCUCCGGGUGGUUGCUCAGGUAACUCUAAGCUGAACAUUUCUUCUGUGACCUCCGGGGGAAGAAAAGGUGAUGCUUGCAGAUACGCAGCUAUCUCUGGACUAGCCGGUUCGAUGUCACAACUCG
rnacentral:misc_RNA from 1 species